rnacentral:rRNA from 1 species
GAUGAACGCUGGCGGCGCGCCUAAUACAUGCAAGUCGAGCGAACGGACGAGAAGCUUGCUUCUCUGAUGUUAGCGGCGGACGGGUGAGUAACACGUGGAUAACCUACCUAUAAGACUGGGAUAACUUCGGGAAACCGGAGCUAAUACCGGAUAAUAUUUUGAACCGCAUGGUUCAAAAGUGAAAGACGGUCUUGCUGUCACUUAUAGAUGGAUCCGCGCUGCAUUAUCUAGUUGGUAAGGUAACGGCUUACCAAGGCAACGAUGCAUAGCCGACCUGAGAGGGUGAUCGGCCACACUGGAACUGAGACACGGUCCAGACUCCUACGGGAGGCAGCAGUAGGGAAUCUUCCGCAAUGGGCGAAAGCCUGACGGAGCAACGCCGCGUGAGUGAUGAAGGUCUUCGGAUCGUAAAACUCUGUUAUUAGGGAAGAACAUAUGUGUAAGUAACUGUGCACAUCUUGACGGUACCUAAUCAGAAAGCCACGGCUAACUACGUG